rnacentral:rRNA from 1 species
GACGAACGCUGGCGGCGUGCCUAAUACAUGCAAGUUGAGCGAUGAAGAUUGGUGCUUGCACCAAUUUGAAGAGCAGCGAACGGGUGAGUAACGCGUGGGGAAUCUGCCUUUGAGCGGGGGACAACAUUUGGAAACGAAUGCUAAUACCGCAUAAUAACUUUAAACAUAAGUUUUAAGUUUGAAAGAUGCAAUUGCAUCACUCAAAGAUGAUCCCGCGUUGUAUUAGCUAGUUGGUGAGGUAAAGGCUCACCAAGGCGAUGAUACAUAGCCGACCUGAGAGGGUGAUCGGCCACAUUGGGACUGAGACACGGCCCAAACUCCUACGGGAGGCAGCAGUAGGGAAUCUUCGGCAAUGGACGAAAGUCUGACCGAGCAACGCCGGGUGAGUGAAGAAGGUUUUCGGAUCGUAAAACUCUGUUGGUAGAGAAGAACGUUGGUGAGAGUGGAAAGCUCAUCAAGUGACGGUAACUACCCAGGAAGGGACGGCUAACUACGUG